GACGAACGCUGGCGGCGUGCUUAACACAUGCAAGUCGAACGGAAAGGCCUGCUUUCCCUUGUGGAUUGCGGGUACUCGAGUGGCGAACGGGUGAGUAACACGUGAGUGAUCUGCCCCCAACUUGGGUAUAAGCCUGGGAAACUGGGUCUAAUUCCCGAUAGGACUGCAGGGUGGUGCCUGUGGUGGAAAACGAUUUUCUAGUGGUUGGGGAUGAGCUCGCGGCCUAUCAGCUUGUUGGUGGGGUAAUGGCCUACCAAGGCGGCGACGGGUAGCCGGCCUGAGAGGGUGGACGGCCACAGUGGGACUGAGAUACGGCCCAGACUCCUACGGGAGGCAGCAGUGGGGAAUAUUGCACAAUGGGCGGAAGCCUGAUGCAGCGACGCCGCGUGGGGGAUGACGGCCUUCGGGUUGUAAACUCCUUUCGACCGCGAGGAAGCCACCUGGUUGGAAGGGUGGUGACGGUAGUGGUAGAAGAAGCACCGGCUAACUACGUG
rnacentral:rRNA from 1 species